rnacentral:ncRNA from 2 species
CUGAACUACAAGGUCCGCGGUGCAGGGAAGCCGGUGUGAAUCCGGCAUGGUCCCGCCACUGUGACCGGGGAGUGCGCUGUCGUGCACCACGCCACUGGCGAAAGCCGGGAAGGCGGGCAGCGUGUGUCGAUCCGGAAGUCAGGAUACCGGCCGCGGGUAUAUCCGUGUU